rnacentral:pre_miRNA from 1 species
UCUUAUGGGUAAGCAAAGAAAGUAGUUUCUUGAGCUAGAAUCUGCUCCUGGUGAAGACUUUGUAAA